AGUGAACGCUGGCGGUAGGCCUAACACAUGCCAGUCGAACGGCAGCACAGUAAGAGCUUGCUCUUACGGGUGGCGAGUGGCGGACGGGUGAGGAAUACAUCGGAAUCUACUUUUUCGUGGGGGAUAACGUAGGGAAACUUACGCUAAUACCGCAUACGACCUACGGGUGAAAGCAGGGGAUCUUCGGACCUUGCGCGAUUGAAUGAGCCGAUGUCGGAUUAGCUAGUUGGCGGGGUAAAGGCCCACCAAGGCGACGAUCCGUAGCUGGUCUGAGAGGAUGAUCAGCCACACUGGAACUUAGACACGGUCCAGACUCCUACGGGAGGCAGCAGUGGGGAAUAUUGGACAAUGGGCGCAAGCCUGAUCCAGCCAUACCGCGUGGGUGAAGAAGGCCUUCGGGUUUUAAAGCCCUUUUGUUGGGAAAGAAAAGCAGCAGGUUAAUACCCCGCUGUUCUGACGGUACCCAAAGAAUAAGCACCGGCUAACUUCGUG
rnacentral:rRNA from 1 species